CUGAUCACAGUAAGGAGGAGUCCAUGCAAACUCCUGUGUUCUCCUCCUCUACUUAACUGACUCCACAGAGGAGGACAGAGAUCAGUGGUCACACUGUUGAACAUGAUGGAGUACAGGACAGGACUGCUGCUGUUAGCUGUCUGCUGGGCAGGUGUUGAUGGUCAGAGUCUGACACAGUCUGAAGCAGUGGUUAAAAGACCUGGAGAUUCACACAGACUGACCUGUACAGGCUCUGGAUACACAUUCAGCGACUAUGGCAUGCACUGGGUCAGACAGGCUCCAGGAAAAGGACUGGAGUGGAUUGCUUUCAUUCACACAGGCAGUAGCCACAUUUACUACUCUGACUCAGUCAGAGGUCGGUUCACCAUCUCCAGAGACGACAGACAACAACAGCUGUAUAUGCAGCAGUCUGAAGACUGAAGAUUCUGCAGUUUAUUAUUGUGCUCGAGACCGCAGCUGGGUGGAAUGAUGCUAUGGACGUCUG